CCCGGGAUCAUGACCUGAGCCGAAGGUAGAUGCCCAACGACUGAGCCACCCAGGCGCCCCUCCUCUGCUCCUUUUAAGAACAUUUUCCACACUGCUGUGUCCCAUGGCCACACCUCACGGCAAGGAAAAAGUGUCUUUAUCCUGGGUGGUCCUGCGACCAGCUAAAAUUAUAACUGAGGUGAGGGAGGAACACAGAUACUGGGGACACCCCACACUUUCUGCUAUGUUCUGCCAAAUCAGAUCUGUUCAGAAGGACCGUCUGACAACAGGUGGGAGCUUGAUAUAACCGUGUUGUUCCAUUUAAGUUGAUUGGCUGUGUGGCCUUAGAUGAGCUGCUUGACCCUUCUGGGCCUCUUUUGCUCACCUUCAAGAUAAUUAAAGUGGAAUAACAUGGUCUUUAGUGUGUCUUUCGGCAGAAUCCUGUUCCACAAGUCUGACAAUCGUCCCCUUUUUAGGCACAGAGGACAUCGUGAUAGUCAAAGAAAAUGGGCGCACGGCAUGCGUGGUGCGUCUUUGGUGUCCGGCUCACCCGGUCUCCUGUCCUGAGGGGCCGGGGGAAGCCACCUUCCUGGCUCCCGUCCUCCUGGCCAAACGCAGAUGCAGGUUUUGGACCAAAUGACUACAAGAUCUGGAGGUCACAAGUCCCACAGGGGCCUCAAGGGGCUGCGUUCCUUCUGGAGGCUCCCGGGGGAGAGUCUGUUUCCUGCUCCUCAGGUCGUCAGCAGAAUCCAGCGUCCUGUGGCUGGAGGCCUGACAUCUUUGGAAGGCAGCUGUCUGCUUCCCGCGGGAACGAAGUCCUGGGUGUCCGUGAGGUCACGAACGGAUUUGUUGCCAGAAACUGAAUUGUCGUUUAGCAAUUAGGCCCCUGGUUGUGUUCGGCCUGCAUGUAGCCAGGCAGGUGGAGGUCAGGUGUGAGCAGGGGGGCCGGGAGGCCCCGGCCAAGCCCCAGGCCACUGGGUCAUUUUCCUCGCCACUUCUGAGCUGUCCUGGACGGGUCUUUGUUAUUCCGGCCUCGGGGGUUCCCCGCCUCCCUGGCUAGCUCCUGCCCGAACGAACGCACAGCUCGCCAAGGCCAGCUCACUCUUUCUGGAACACACUUCCCCAUCCCACGAUACCUCCUAAAAUGUGCCCAAGGCAGAGAACCUCUCUUGUCUCCACCCUCCGCCCGGCUUUCGCAGAGGACAGAUCCGCCGCAUCUGCGGUUAAGGACCAAGUUGCCAAGGGUGGUCGUUUCGUUGAGGCCUAGAUGGUGGGGUGCCCACAUCAGCCCCCAGCUCUGGCAGUGGCUGGGGAGGCAGGCCAGGGGGGCUCGGGCACCCGGGCUUCCGAGUCACACUGCCCGGGUUCAAAUCCUGACUCCAUGUGAGAGCUAGGGAGCCUGGAGCAUGCUUCUUGACUUCUCUGUGCCUUGCUCUCCUCUCUUGUAAAAGGUGAAUAAUGAUGGCAUUUCCCUCAAGGGAUGGUUGAUUGAAUGAGAUAAUCAGCGCCAACGGCUCGUGCCGGGGAGAGCCUGGAACUUUCGCCAUGGGCCGUGUGAGAUGGCUUUGACCUUGGAUCUCGCCCCGCUCAGCGCCAGGGGUGUCUAGGCACAGCUCUGGCCAAAGGCUUUUUCUAAAGGGCAGAUGCCGUUCAGGGCUAACCCAUGUGAUCCUCAAAGCCCCUUGCAGAAAAGGUGGGAUUACCCUCAGUCUAUAUAGAUAGUAAUAAUGGUAGGAGAUGCUGCUUAGCACUUCCUAGGUACCAGGGUCUGUGCCAAGCACGAUCAAGAAUCCAAGAGGUGGCCUGUCUUACAGAGCGAGAACUGGCUUGGCAUCCCUUACAAAUGGGAGGAGGUAGCAGGAAUCCAAGGCCAGGCUGGUCUUACUCAGCCUGCGCUCUUUCUUCUGUCGCCUGAUUAAACAAUAAUUCCAGAUUUUUAAUUUCCCCCAAAGCACCGUCUUCCUCCUUGACACCAUGCUGAGCACAUUUGGACGUGGGGAGAGAAGGGGAAAAAGUCACCGCCUCCUAGUUGAGGCUUGGUUACUCUGAUAGAUGUCCUUGCAGAGCCAUAUCACCCCGCAAAGAGAAACGUCGAUUGUAAAAGAUGAAUGUUGUGCCCGUCUAGAUCAGAUUUAGAAAGCCCCACGCGGGGAGUUGUGCUACUUACAAAUAUUGCUCAUUAUUAGGUUGCUUUUACCAUUUGGUAAGGAAUUUAAAUCCCCCAUAAUUUAAAUUUAUUAAUUUAAAAGAAUGGCCUUGGCUUUCCACUUCUUUCUAAAUAAAGUCUCAGGGAGAGAAAAGGGACAGGUGGACAUUACAGAUGAAUUUUGUUGUAUAUUUGUAAAAUUCCAAGGUGUGUGCAAAUGAGAACAAACACGGGGGUGCGGAUAUUAGCUUAAACUUGCCGCGAGUGUGCCACUUCUUAACUCACUUUGAAAAAUCCAAUACGUCAAAAAAAAAAAAAAAUCUUUACCAUGCUGCUAGAGUAAAUGGAAAACACUAUUGCUUGCCAGAAGCAAUCAUCAUCAUUGUUUUUAUUAGUGGGGACACUGUGAGCAUUCACCCCGUGGCAGGAACUGCCAGAAUGCUUUGUAGACUGUGUGACAGGUUCCUCCUCGUGGAUGUUACUCUAGGAGACUGGCUCCAUUAUUCCCAUUUGACAGAUGAAGAAACUGAGGUCCAGUCCUCUUAGUACAUUAACGAUAGGAGUGUCAAUGAAGACAGGAAACCUACUUCGAUCCAUCUUUUUAAUGCACCUGAAUUGCCCAGUUCCCCUCUCCCCGCCCCUUACUCCACUCACCUAUCUCCUAUCAACCUUUCUUUUAUUUUUAAAGAUUUUAUUUAUUUAUGUGAGAGAGAGAGAGAAUGAGAGAUAGAGAGCA